ensembl:lncRNA
ACCCCCCACAAUCUACACAUCUACAACAUCUACUAUACUUGAUGCAGGGAUUGGCGUGUUUGUGCAGAGCAAGAGGUGGAAAGUGAAGGAACUACUAGAAAAAAAUGAAUCAAAUAUUAAUUGUAACAAUUACAAAUGUGCGUGUGUGGACACCUUAUAUUAAAUUAGAUUAGAUUAGAUUAGACAUUAUGGAAUAAUGUAAGAAGAUAUUGCGGAAGGUAAGUCACUGUCAUCUUCCCAUUGGAAUAACCAGAUCCUCGCUCCUUAAGUAGGCCUGUCUGCAGAGACAUGUAAGGCUACUUAUUUGGGAGCAUUAAGAAACUUCAGCUUAUCUCCUUCAGAGAAAAGAGUCCAGUUGUAUGGUCUGCUAGCUUUAAAAACAGACUUGAUUUCUACUGGUUUGGAGAGAACAAUGCCAGUUCACAUCCACCAAUACGCCCACUUCUAAGCUGUUUAUGAAAUUCUUAAUCCACAGCCUUGGCUACAUCCUAGGUCAUGCUAAGGUCAGACCUGAACAACCAUAUAACAUACAACAUCUGCCGUUAACGCAUUAAAACUGGUUAUUAAAAAAACAUGGCAGUGUAGGAAAUAACUAGCAGCCAGAAGGUUAAUGCAAGCUCCUUACAAAACACCUAGCAGGCUAAAUAGCCUACGGUCAUUAUUAAUAUCGUAAAUUAUUAUUAAGUUACUGGCUAGCUAAUUGUUUAUUUAUCUGCAGGAAAAAAUGUAAGCGUUUCUGCACCUACUUAAGUCAACGUAACAGAUUCUCUCUAACCACUGUUUUGUUUUUGACCCUGCAGGGAAGUUCUGGACAUGUCAUUGUAGUCUCCUGCAUAGUCUCCUGUUCUCAUGGAUUUGUCGUUUCUGGGGACUAAAAUAAUCAGCUGUCCUCAGGGGCCCUCUUCCAGCUCUGGAUGCCUGCUUUGCCUCCCCUGUCAUAGAAUGCGGGAAAAUUCUGCCAUUUCUACACCGUUUUUGCUUAUAGCACAUACAUUGGUAAGCUUACAAGCACAUUUGGCAUCUGCAGUAUUCACAGGGCUUGUAUAAAACUGCACUCUAACUGGCUUCAUGUGUUUCUUUCAGGUAACGAUAUACUACUGAUCACUAACUGGAUCGACUUGCAGAUAAUCUGUAUAGAGUUAGUUUCACACAGAGUUUGGUUCACCUGGAAAAAGCAGUAUGUGAAGUCAACCAUGCAUCUGUCGAGUUGCAUUACAGUUUCUGAAGGCCUCCAGCACACAGCCAUUCAGUGGGGCUGAAUUCACUUUCUGUCCUACAGAGAAGGUAGGGAAAAAAAACAGACCUCUUGCUCUGUCAAGCAUCCUCGAGUGGAGUGCAGUUUCUGUUACUGCCGCUCUCUUAGGUACAUGCAGUGCAUGGGUACAGCAGCGCGACUGGACUGAACCCUCGCCAGGUGAGAGGAGGGAAGAAGUGCCCAGAGUCUGCGACGGGGUGGCAGGGGCGUGGUGCAGCGGAGUGGCGGCGGCCCAUUCCACGAAAGCAUUCCAGAGCCCUGCGUGGCUGCCCCGGCGAGUCUCAGGGAGUGACUCAGUCGCGCCCCUGGGCUCGGAGGAAUCAUGUGAGAGCCUCAUUCUUGGCAUUCCAUUUAGUUUUGUACCAAUCCACACUCGGGCUGAGUCAUCCAAAGAUCGGGGAGGGGAACACACUCAGUCACACACACACACACACACACACACACAGACACAGACAUGCAUUCACACACACAAACGCACACGCACACACACAAAUGCACCCAGACACACACACACACACACACACACACACACAAACGCGCACACACACAAACGCGCACACACAAAUGCACACACACACACAAACGCACACACACACACAAACGCACACACACACACAAACGCACACAAACGCAUACAAAAUAAAUGGACGCUCCCCACCCUGCGCUCUCUCUGUCUCUGUCUGACUGUUGCUAUUUCUUUGUUUUCUUCAAGGUUACUCCUCUCCCUCCCCCCAUCCAAGGCCUGUUCCCUAGCGCCACCCCUGCUCUCUCUGUGCCCAGUCAAACCGAACCACGCCCAAUGGAGCUCAGAGGCCUGAGCUGCAUACCAAGAGAGCGAGCACAUGGUGGAAGAGGAGAGGCUCACUUCAACAAGC